rfam:Macrostomum lignano uti_cns_0004595, whole genome shotgun sequence.
AUCGCUUCUCGGCCUUAUUGGCUAAGAUCAAAGUGUAGUUUCUGUUCUUUAGAGAUUAAUUCCUCUAACGUAGUCCAUUGGACUACUAAGUAAUUAAUCCGGUUUUUGAUGAGUCGGGCCAGUGCUUCGUGUUCACACGACCUGGUCCACGCGUAGGCCUUGCGCUGCAGUACAGCAAGGAUCUGCGCAUCUUAG